UUUGGAGGGCAAGUCUGGUGCCAGCAGCCGCGGUAAUUCCAGCUCCAAUAGCGUAUAUUAAAGUUGUUGUGGUUAAAAAGCUCGUAGUUGAACCUUGGGCCUGGCUGGCCGGUCCGCCUCACCGCGUGCACUGGUCCGGCCGGGCCUUUCCCUCUGUGGAACCCCAUGCCCUUCACUGGGCGUGGCGGGAAUCAGAACUUUAUUUU
rnacentral:rRNA from 1 species